GGGCGGGUAGUUCAGGGGUAGAACGCCACUCUGACGAAGUGGAGGUCGCUGGUUCAAGUCCAGCCCCGCCCACCA
rnacentral:tRNA from 1 species